rnacentral:tRNA from 1 species
GGAGUUGUGGCUCAGUGGUAGAGCGCUCCCCUUGCAUGUGUGAAGCUCUGGGUUCAAUCCUCAGCACCA